UGUAACGUCGGGCCAGCGGCGGCGGUAAUACGGAGGGUGGAAGCGUUAGUCGUAAUUACUGGGCGUAAAGGGCGGGUAGGCGGGAAUAUAAGUCAGACGUGAAAUUCCGGGGCUCAACCUCGGAGCUGCAUCUGAAACGAUAUUCCUUGAGGAAAGGCGUAGAAAACGGAAUUCCACAUGUAGCGGUGAAAUGCGUAGAUAUGUGGAGGAACACCUGUGGCGAAAGCGGUUUUCUAGCUUAAUCCUGACGCUGAGGCGCGAAAGCAAGGGGAGCAAACAGGAUUAGAUACCCUAGUAGUC
rnacentral:rRNA from 1 species